rnacentral:lncRNA from 1 species
UGCAGGGCCACCAACCAUUGUGGAAAAUAGAAGGAUAUAUGAGGAAGAGUCAUCUGUAAGAACAAAACCACAUCUGAACAUCUGGAUUCAAUCUGACACCAAGUUGACAGUGGAAGGACUCUUGGAUUACACCCAAUUCAAACUCCUUAUUUGACAGAUGAAACACUAUAGCCUGAAAAGAGGAAGUGGAUUGUCUAAGGUCAUGUGGCAAGAAAGUCUGGACACGUGGAUCUCCGGGGAACAUCUUGGCGACUUCACCUCUGGGGGGGAGGCAGCAGGCAGGACCCCAGCACCCAUGGGCCCUGGACACGCAGAGGAGCCCCUUCCACCCUGUCCUCGGUGCUAUUGGGAAAGUACCCUAUUUCUGAGCCGUGUCUGCCAGGCCCUUUGUGCGGAUGGCCGACAUGCUGAACAGUGGGGGUCAUCGACGCAAACCCCUUUCCCAGCCUGCCC